AUAAUAAUAUCAUAUUAUUAUUAUGUGCAUAUUUUAAGUAAAUUACUUAUUAUAUGCUAAGCAUGACAUGAAAUUGCAUUUUUACUUGCAAUAAAAGUAUUUAAUUGGUUUUAAUUAUAAUUCCAAUUUUUAAGAAAAGCGAGUAAGGAUAUUGUUGGUGUCCUUAACUCAAGAAUUUAGUUUUCAAUUAUUUAUUCAUUAAAUUUUGAAAACCCGGCUAAGUGAAUCAUAGAAUAUUAAGCACUACACCAUGACUUAAGAUUAGAUUCAAGGAGACCUAUUAAGAAUAGAAUUUCUUGUAGGCUUUGUGGACCAAGGGGAUUAGCACUGCUUCCCAAGACAGGUUAUGUGAUUAUGAUCUUCAGGCUUUGCCUAUCCAGGUUGAGCAGUUGAUGGAAUGGAAUGAUGUUGAGCGGGUGUUCCUAUGACAUUUCAAGAAAUGUAACCUUGAGUAUACAUCUUCAUAUGUAUAUCUCACACGUUUUCCGCUGCAAAACACUUUGAUUAGGAUAACUUUAUGUUAUGAAAUUGUGACACGUGUUAUUGGGUAACCCACCUUAAUCAGUUCUCAUUUAUGUGUAUGUUUUAUAAGUAUCCAAAUAAUCAUAUAUGAUCCUAGCAUUUUAUCUAUGAGUGACAUUUCCAUAUACUUUAAUGUUAA